CCAUAACUUUUAGACCGUGAGGC
rnacentral:siRNA from 1 species